rnacentral:rRNA from 1 species
GACGAACCGUGCAAACGUUGUUCGGAAUCACUGGGCUUAAAGGGCGCGUAGGCGGAUCUCCAAGUCGGGGGUGAAAUCUUUCGGCCCAACCGGAAAAGGGCUUCCGAUACUGGAGAUCUCGAGGGAGGUAGGGGUCGAGGGAACUGGUGGUGGAGCGGUGAAAUGCGUAGAUAUCACUAGGAACGCCGGUGGCGAAAGCGCUCGACUGGACCUCUUCUGACGCUGAGGCGCGAAAGCCAGGGGAGCAAACGGG